UCAAAUAAAAAUUCUUCGCUUUGUCCCUGCUCCUACCAAGCAAACCCCACACUGAUUUUGCCUAAACGUGAGUUGAGAGUCUUAACUUCUUUUAGAGCUGUGGAUAUGGCUGGGAAACUCAUGAAAGCAGUGCAGUACAAUGGCUAUGGCGAAGGACCUGAUGGCUUACAGCAUGCUGAAGUACCAAUUCCCACUCCCAAAAACAAUGAUCUAAUUUGAGCCCAAAUGGGAAGGUAGUUGAUAUUAUUCUUGGCCCUAGUGCCCUGGUGACUUUUGCCCUGAAGAAACUUACAUUGUCCAAGAAGCAAUUGGUGCCACUAAUACUAAUUCCCAAGAGUGAGAACCUCCAAUAUCUUGUUAACUUGGUCAAGGAAGGGAAGCUCAAGACAAUAAUUGACUCAAAAUAUCCCCUGGGCAAGGCCAAAGAUGCUUGGGCUAAGAGUAUUGAUGGCCACGCAACUGGGAAGAUCAUUGUGGAGCCUUAGGCAUACGUAAUAUGCCCUGAAUUUCUGAAGUUGAUGUAAUACAAUAAUAAGAUUAGUUAAGGGCCAUGCAUUUAGAGCUGUGUAAAACAAUGCAUCUGGGGAUGUUUGGUUUUACCUUGUAAUUAAGUUCCUUCGAUCUGAUUAUGCAAAAUGAUGAUGUUUAGGUUAUAUGUUCUUGCUGUGGCUUUGGUCAUGUUUGUUAUU